rnacentral:rRNA from 1 species
UACGGAGGGUGCAAGCGUUGCUCGGAAUCAUUGGGCGUAAAGGGUGAGUAGGUGGUCUCGCAUGUCAGGGUGAAAUCCCUGGCUUAACUUAGGAACUGCCUCUGAAACGGCGAGACUGGAGUACUGGAGAGGGUCGGUGGAAUUCCCGGUGUAGAGGUGAAAAUUCGUAGAUAUCGGGAGGAACACCAGUGGCGAAGGCGACUACCUGGCCUGUUCUUGACGCUGAGGCGCGACAGCGUGGGGAGCAAACGAG